rnacentral:rRNA from 1 species
ACGCUCGACACCUACGGGGGCAGCAGUGGGGAAUAUUGCACAAUGGGGGAAACCCUGAUGCAGCGACGCCGCGUGAGCGAAGAAGUAUUUCGGUAUGUAAAGCUCUAUCAGCAGGGAAGAAAAUGACGGUACCUGACUAAGAAGCACCGGCUAAAUACGUGCCAGCAGCCGCGGUAAUCUGAGCGGGCUGGCAAGGC